CCCCGCUUCCCAGGUCCCCAAACGGGUCGGUAGAAGACGAAUCAACCGGCAGUCGCCCAGUAGCCCAGGCCCACUUUCCGAGAAGCUGUCGUGUCCAAAUUCCCUGAAGUUUCCCGCAAGUCACUCAGAGCCCAAGACCCGCCCCUUACCCUUGAUGUCCAAUCAGGAGCGAGGCUGGAUUCCUGGGCCACCAGCCGGGAACAAGAUUUAAAAACGAAAACAACAAAAAAAGAUUGUAUACCAAAAUAAAUAAAUCGAACCCAGUGCCUUACACCUGCGAGGCAAGUGCUCUGUCACUGAGCCCCAGCCCCAGCCGCAUCUGACCUUUACACCUCCAGUAGCUGGGAUUAUAGGUGACCCAGCUCUUGCCUCUGCAACUUCUAACGAGCUGACCUCGAGCAACUGAUUCACCCCUAAGGAAAUGAGGACCUCAGUUUCUUCACCCAUGAAAUGGAAAUAAUGAUACCUAUUAUCUACUGCAGAGAGAUGUGAGAACUACAAUGAAUUAAAAUAUAUGUUUACUGUGCUUUGAACAGUGCCUGGCAGAUGUUAAGCGCUGUGUGUUUUUAUUUAUAUUAUUUUGAGGAAUACAUGAUAUUCUGUGCAUAUCAUAUCAUGUUUUUUUUUUCUCAUGUGAGGCAAACUGAGAUGAGGUUAGAAAGUAUUUUGUUUUUAAUUUUAUAUUCCUCAGGACUUAAAACACUUUGCUAUUUUAAUGUUUCACUUUCUUGGGGAUUUUUUCUUUUUAAUCUUGGCUAGUUCUUUUCCUGGACAUUAGAAAUAUCCAACCCUCUUAAUCAGAUUUCCUGUCUUUUGUAAAGCCACUGGAAAGACUCCUUAGUCACAGAAAUGUGAAGCCAGUUUCCUUAGCAAUCAGGAAAGGAAAAUCUGCAUGAGAAUCUGAGGUUCCCCGAGGGAAGGUAUUGAUAUCCAGACACCUUGAGAUCAGAAGUUUUGGGACAUUUCUGUUACAGUGGAAUGACAAGAUUACGGUCACCUGUCAUGGGAGGAUGGAGGGAUUUUUAUAGGAAAACUCAUUGUAAAUGACAGAGGCAUGAACAUUAGGUUUAUUUUGGAUUCUAGAAUCAGGUCAUAAAACUGAACAAAUAUUCACAAUUGUAUGUCUUUUAAAGAGCCCCAGGGAGGAAAGGAGAGCAUGUGUACAUUUAUGACUUUCUCGCUAUAUUAACUUUCUUAUCAUUUCUGAUUCUCUUCACUUGCUAUUGUUCAUUUCUAGUUACCAUUUAGGGUCCUUUCCU